GUGAAUCAUCAAAUCUUUGAACGCAAAUUGCGCCUUUUUCGGAAGGCAUGUCUGUUUGAGGGUACCAUUUAACAAAUAAUGUGCAUUUCGUGUGUACACGUUGAUGAGCUUUCCAAAAUUAUGUAUUAUUAUUUUUGGUGGCGCAUAAUAAACAGCGCGAUGCUUUUUCAGUUUGAGUGUAGUAAAAUUUUUUCUUGUUUGGGUUGUGAUAAGUGUGAUCGCGCAGAUGGGUGUGGAGAUUCUACUAUCCCUUCCUCAAUGCAACUUUUUCAUGCGA
rnacentral:misc_RNA from 1 species